GUGCCAGCAGCCGCGGUAAUACGUAGGGGGCGAGCGUUGUCCGGAAUCAUUGGGCGUAAAGCGCGUGUAGGCGGCUUGGUCAGUCCGGCGUGAAACCUCGGGGCUCAACCCCGAGCCUGCGCUGGAUACUGCCUCGCUCGAGUCCGGGAGGGGAGAGCGGAAUUCCCAGUGUAGCGGUGAAAUGCGCAGAUAUUGGGAAGAACACCGGUGGCGAAGGCGGCUCUCUGGAACGGAACUGACGCUGAGACGCGAAAGCGUGGGGAGCAAACAGGAUUAGAUACCCUCGUAGUCC
rnacentral:rRNA from 1 species